rnacentral:rRNA from 1 species
UACGGGGGGAGCAAGCGUUGUUCGGAUUUACUGGGCGUAAAGGGCGCGUAGGUGGCCUUCUAAGUUGAACGUGAAAUCCCUGGGCUCAACCCAGGAACUGCGUCCAAGACUGGGAGGCUUGAAUCCGGGAGAGGGAUGCGGAAUUCCAGGUGUAGCGGUGAAAUGCGUAGAUAUCUGGAGGAACACCGGUGGCGAAGGCGGCCACCUGGACGGUAACUGACGCUGAGACGCGAAAGCGUGGGGAGCAAACAGG